AGAACGAACGCUGGCGGCAGGCCUAACACAUGCAAGUCGAACGCCCCGCAAGGGGAGUGGCAGACGGGUGAGUAACGCGUGGGAACGUGCCCUAAGGUACGGAACAACUCCGGGAAACUGGAGCUAAUACCGUAUGUGCCCGAGAGGGGAAAGAUUUAUCGCCUUGGGAUCGGCCCGCGUCUGAUUAGCUAGUUGGUAGGGUAACGGCCUACCAAGGCUACGAUCAGUAGCUGGUCUGAGAGGAUGACCAGCCACACUGGGACUGAGACACGGCCCAGACUCCUACGGGAGGCAGCAGUGGGGAAUAUUGGACAAUGGGCGAAAGCCUGAUCCAGCCAUGCCGCGUGAGUGAUGAAGGCCUUAGGGUUGUAAAGCUCUUUCGGUGGGGACAUAAUGACGGUACCCGCAGAAGAGCCCCGGCUAACUUCGUGCCAGCAGCCGC
rnacentral:rRNA from 1 species